UAAAUUUGUUCUUGGUAUGAGCUUUCAUGUGCAUGCACAAGAAAGCUCAUACCAAGAACAAACUUA